GGGCCGUUAGCUCAGCAGGUAGAGCACCUGACUCUUAAUCAGGGGGUCGCAGGUUCGAAUCCUGCACGGCCCA
rnacentral:tRNA from 1 species